GAAGUUUGCCAGACCGCCGCUGGUGCAAUCUGGGAAACCAGGCACUGGAGGAACGUCCGGACUGCACAGGGCAGCGUAGGAGGUAACACCUCUCCACCGUGAGGUGAGGAUUAGAGCAACAGAGACGAGCCGAUUCAGUUCGGGUGAAACGGGCAAUCUCUACGCGCAGCAAUACCAAGUAGGCACACGUUGACGGGGCCCCCGGAGUGUGCGGGUAGGUAGCAUUGAGCCGGGUGGGCGACCCCCGGCCCAGAUUAAUGGCGGUCACACCGGGCCAACUUGCUUUCGGGCAAGGAAGCCCGGCGCACAGAAUCCGGCUUAUCGGCAAACUUCACAC
rnacentral:RNase_P_RNA from 2 species